rnacentral:rRNA from 1 species
GGGGAGUGACGUCAAGUCAGCAUGGCCUUUAUAUCCAGGGCUACACACACGCUACAAUGGCCGGUACAGAGGGGCGCAAAGCCGCGAGGUGGAGCAAAUCUCACAAAGCCGGUCUCAGUUCAGAUUGCAGGCUGCAACUCGCCUGCAUGAAGUCGGAGUUGCUAGUAACCGCAGGUCAGCUAUACUGCGGUGAAUACGUUCCCGGGUCUU